rnacentral:lncRNA from 1 species
GAAAAGAAGACAUGAAAAAGCAGAGGGGAAGAUAGAUCUGAAAAAGAUAUAAAAAAACAAGGGGAAAGAAAAAGCUCCUUCUAUUUUCACGUCUUUUAGCUCUAAUACCCUGCUGUAGCAUCGUCUUUUCCCACCCAAAAAAUAGUCUCAUUUUUACCUCAAAAUCAGCCUUAAACUUCCCUCAAAAUCCAGCACCCUUUUAUCUAUAAAAACCAACUAAAACUACCUUCAAAACAUAGCAAAAAUAGCAACGAAUCUCACCCUGAAUUCCAGCAAAAAGUAGCAUGAAAUUACAGCAAAAACUGCCCAAAAAUACGGUAAAACAGCUGCAAAACCUACCUCCAUUAACGCCAAUUUUCAGCUUCAAAACUUCCGCAAAAACGCAUUGAUUCUCCCUCCAAAAAAUCAGCUCGCAAACAUCACAAAACCAGCAGGAAAAAGCCACUCUUGGUUGCUAAAAUCUGAGUGAAAACAGUCCGAAAAAAGUCCCUGACGAGGUCUUGGUUCGAGGUUCCGGCGUACAGUUAGUUACGAGUUGACGACGAAGGUCUCGUUUUUGUUUCUGGAUCUCUUUACUUUGGACGAGAUUAUGUACGAGUAGGAGAUUUUUUUUUAUCAAUAUAUUUGAAAACCGUUGAAUGUUCAAGGUCCGUUUCCAUGCUCUUAUCAGUAUUUCUAUUAAAGUUUUAUGUUUUGAAUUAUCGGUGUGAUUAUAUGAUGUGUUUAGCUGUUGAAUCAUUGUGAAAGUUUGAGUGGUUUAUUGCUCUCUGCUUCAACAACGACAAAUGCUAUUGUGUUUUGAAUCAAUCUUUUACUAAGUGCAUAUCUUGUUUAAUAGUUACUUUUGUCAAGUGGGGUUCUUAUGGCUUUUAUGUUGGGUGUGAGUAUUAAUCAUGAAUUGAAAAAGUCAAAUGAGCUAUUGUUUGAUUUGGUAGAGAUCACGUUAGAGUUUAGCAAGCUUUCACUUUAUUCCAUUAAUUUUCUUAAGUAUAGAUAAAGUAGAAUGAAUAAGUAGAAUUUAUUUUCUUGUCACAUUAUCAUACAUAUACCUCUAGUAAUCUUUAAUAAUCAAUCUUACAUUUGCCGUAAUUCUACCCCGUAACCUUUGAGCCUCAAAAUAAUUUCAAAUUUAGCAAAUAAUUAAACAACUUUGAAUAACGUAGUGUUCUUUAGGUAUGGCCAAUAAUACAUUAUCGUGACUAUGGGUACGGUUUCAGUGGCAUAAUCAUGGUACGUAAUUCCAAAUUCGAGUGCACGCUUGUGUAACUUGACCUUAAAUGCAAAGUCAUAAUAAAAUUAUAAUUUUAUUUAUAAUGUAAUUUUGUCUUUCAAUAAUAAAGCAAGUAUUAAAAGCGGAUAGGUAAAAUAUGAAAAUCAUAUAAAUCACAGUUUGUCCAAAAUUAAUUCAAGCCAAGUUUUAAGUCAAUAAAGCGACCGUGCUAGAACCAUGGGACUCGGGGAAUGCCUUACACCUUCUCCCCGGUCAACAUAAUUCCUUACCUGAACUUUAUUUUCGCAGACCAAUAAUAAUAGAGUCAAACCUUCCUUUGACUAGAGAUUCAAAUAAAAGGUGACUUGGAACACCCAAAAAAAUCAAUUCCAAGUGGCGACUCUGAACAAUAAAAAUCCUUACUCAAGUUUGUCACUUUAAUUGGAAAAACUCUUUAACUCACAAUCAACACACAUUAUCUUUUUGGGGGUAGAAAAUGGGUGUGACAUUAUUUAUUAAAUUAACGGGUAUGACUUGGCUGAUAAAUUAAUGAGCUUUGAUUUUUUAAUUUUUAUUAAACAUAUUUCAUUAAGCAUGAUUAAGAACGUGGACUUGAGACUUGUUCACGGUAAUGUUACUGACAAAUUUAACAAUGCUACUUAUAUAUCUUGAAAAUUAAUAUUAAGAAAAAAAUUAAAUGUACGAAUAUAUUAUAAAAAUAAUAAAUAAAAUAAUAUUAAAUUAUUUUAAUUAUAAAUAAAAUAUUUGGGUAAAAGUAUAUUAUAUAACAUAUAAUAUAGAUGGCAUAACAUAAAUGAGAGGAUUUAUAAUGUCAAGGGCAUAAUAGACUUUUCAGGUGAAAGGUUUGUAAAUUUGGUCAAAGUGAUUAUUGUGAUAACUAGAGCAUAAUAAAAUGAUUUUUGUGUAACAAAAGAAAAAAAGUGACUUUUGGAUAAUGAACACAAAGUUGAAUAACUUUUACGUAACAAAAGAAAGAAAAGUAACUUUUGGAUAAUGAACACAAAUUUGAAUGAUCAUUCAUGAAAUUUACUCAAAAGACUUCUAACAAACAUCGGAUCUAAAGUAAAUGUUAAUUAAAACAAAAUUCAGACUAAUUAGUGUCGCCUAUAUUGAUUCUUUAUUUCAUUGUGUCUAAUUUGUCGCUAGGUCUACAUGAGGAGGUUUGCACAAACAAGAUCAUUUCACGCCUUUAUUUAGAUUUUGACCCCAUUUAAAGAAGUUUAGAAAAACAGAUUGCGACCCAGAACUUGGUUUUACCAUAUGUUUCGACCGAUCGUUAGGACAUUAAUAUAAAUUGUAUCACAACUUUGGUAUUAACUAUCCACAAAUCCUGACGGAUCGUUAAGACUUGUACAAAAAAUUUACCAACACAUUUUUGCUUCAAAAAUUUAUCCAAAUUUGAUUUUAAUCUUGUAAUACUAAUUCCAAUAAUUCCCAACGGUUAAAUUCUACAAAACCUUCAAAAUUAAUAGAUCCACUUUUUAGUUGAAUAUGGAUGGCUAUUUGUGUAACAAUCCCAAAAUUAAUAGAUCCACUUUUUUUCGUAAACAAUUUUUUUUAAUUUCAAGCUUAACAAAACUCUAUAGUGGUGUUUUUAAUUUUCAAUUUUAGUUGUAUGCUCACAGUAUAUUGCAAAGAAGAAGGAGGAGGAAGAAGGAG